rnacentral:lncRNA from 1 species
CGCCAGUAGGACUAUUGGAAUUGGCCAAGGAAAAUCAUGACUGAUGCAUCACUAAUUAGCCUAAAUAAAAGGCCUCAAAUUGGAAGUACAGUCUGGGCUGUCUUUUUCAAUCAGUUCUACAACAGGCAGAACUCAUAUUUCAUAAAGGCCAAGGUCAGAGAUCUUGUGCUUAAAAAGGUCGGUGAACACUGUGAUGCCAGAAACAUAGUAAAACAUUCUAGAUCAAUCUAAAUCACGACAGCAAUGGUAAAACAUGCUAGCAACAUGUUAAAUCAUCCUGGCAACAUGAUAAAUCAUUUAGUUACAUGUUAAAUUAUGGUUCAUUGCAAUUAACAUUUCUUUUAGUUGUUGUUUUUUUUUUAGUUUUGUUAGGUUUUCUUUAACAUGUCUCUAUAGUUUUGUUAAUUUUUUAAUUUCAGUUCUUAAGUGUUUCAAGUUAAAUUAAUCAAAAUGUAUUUGGCACCAAACUGAAAUAAGUUUAUGUUUUUUUAUAUAAUUAGUUUUAUUUCAAGUAAUGUUUUUUUUUCCUUUUAUGGUUUAAUUUUUAGUUUUAAAUCAUAAUAACCCUGACCAUCACACUCAACUUGAACAAUUGUAGGAUUUUAAUGUCAGAAUAUUAAUAGACACACGAAAAUAAACAGUUGUAAUUCUAUUGCUAAAUAUCUGUUCCGGAUGUUUCUCUGAUGUUAAAGUCAUGGCCGAUUAGUUGGAAAUGAUGUCAUGCAUAAAUGCCUGUGCUUUCUUCAGAUCAGGAAUCAGUCAUGAGUCUGAUAAACAUAGGUUUCAUAAUGGUGUCAUUAUAAGGACAGAGCUGUGUUUCUGUGGCCGCGUCGACUCGUCAAACGUCGUGCACAUGAUCCGUAACUGCAGCAUAAUCAAGUCAUUCAGUGGCUUUGAUACGGAUCAGAAAACAGGCUUGUGGGGUUUUUCACGGGACCAAACAUUCAUGCCACAUCAGAAAAAAUAUAGAGCAGCACAAAUGCAUGGUACUCAUCUGAAAAAUGAGAACAAAGUGAUUGUUCCUGUUCUCUUUCUUAAGUCACUUCAAAUGCUGUUUGUGCGGCUGGAGCUCAUUGUGAGGAGAGCCGAGCAGGAGACAGGCAGGUGAUGGAGGAUUUGAUCUG